rnacentral:misc_RNA from 1 species
UCUCCGUUGGUGAACCAGCGGAGGGAUCAUUACAGAGUUUUCACAACUCCCAACCCUUCCGAACCGUACCCAUUCUGUUCUCGUUGCUUCCCGCGGGGGGGACUGGGGGGCCCGAAACGGCCUCCCCUCCCCGCCCGCCGGGGGCGGCGGGCCCCACACACCUUUAUAUCCCAACCACCCGACACCUUCUAAGAAAACAAACAAAAUAAUCAAAACUUUCAACAACAGAUCUCUUGUCACUGGCAUCUAUGCAGAACUCCUCAGAUCCACACAGCACAC